rnacentral:tRNA from 1 species
UGUGGUGCUUGGUGGCAAAGCACUUGUUUGCCACACAGGACACCCUGGGUUCAAUCCCCCGUACCACAA